rnacentral:tRNA from 1 species
GUUUCUGUAGUGUAGUGGUUAUCACGUUCGCCUCACACGCGAAAGGUCCCCGGGCUUGAAACCGGGACGGGAACA